rnacentral:lncRNA from 1 species
GGGUCGAGGCCGAAUGUGUCUGGUAUUGGCUGGACAAAACCGGGUGCUAUUGCUUUGCAAGAGAAAGACUGGAGAGGUGAUGAUGGUGUGCAUCAGAGUGUUCGUGCUACAGAUGGUGUUAUUAAGGGGAGUAGCAGUUAUAUGCCACCUUCGGCCCGGUUGGCUGGGGUUGGACUACCGGUUAGUGCUUCUGGUCAGUCUUAUAUACCACCAGCUGAGAAAGCUAUGGUCUUGAGGGGCGAGGAUUUUCCUUCUUUAAAAGCUGCCUUACCUACCACAUCUGGGCCAGUGCAGAAACAAAGAGACAAUUCACAUCAAAAGCAUAAGCAGGGACUGAGUGAGGAGUCUUCCAAUGAGCAGAAAGAUAAUUACCAUCUGAAUUCAUCAGUUCACAUGCAUCCACAGGGGCAAUAUACCNNNNNNNNNNNNNNNNNNNNNNNNNNNNNNNNNNNNNNNNNNNNNNNNNNNNNNNNNNNNNNNNNNNNNNNNNNNNNNNNNNNNNNNNNNNNNNNNNNNNCGUGGUGGUUGAUCCUUUCUGUAUAUAUAUAUUUAUAACUUUUAUAUAUAUAACUGCUUACUGCUUUUCAUAUAAACUACGGCAUCAUGUGAGCCUAAGAAUCAUGUGAUCACAGAUUCAGUCCACUAAAUCUAGAUUCUGUUCCCGUGAUGGAAAUUUUCAGCUGUAAGCAGCUUAUAAAUUAUUCACGGUGUUUGAAUUUCCUUAGAUGGCUUUCAUGCCCAUGAGGAGUUCGACAUCCCUAUAUAUUAUUUUCUCGAAGAUGUUUUGCAUCUCGAAAAUAAAAGCAAUCAAGCCGAACAUUUAAUAAUAAAAAAUGGAAGUAUGAAAAGGUCUAAAUUACUGUUGAGCACAAGGUUUGAAAAACCUCUUUUACAAAACCUCACUAUUAUAUCAUGUUUAAAACUAAAAUUUUCAAACAAAUUCAAACCCUUUGUAUAUAGGUGCGAACGAGGACUCGCAUUACUUCCAAAUAAUAACACAUUGACCCACACACACACACAUUCAUAUAACAAUUGCUUGAAAAGUGGCGGUCACCGUGGUAACACGGAUGACGGGGGGUGCCUAACACCUUCCCUUCGCAUAAUCAAGCCCCCGAACCCAAAUUAAUCUCGGUUUCACAGACCCGUUUAGCAAUGUCACAUCACUGGGUCAAUGUGCAAAUCUUUUCUCGGUUGCGUUGGUGCAACCAGUUAAAAACACCAACUGGCGACUCUACAGUCAAAUCGUCGACAUAUACAUGUCGGACCUUUUUCACUUGUUUUUUCAAACAAAUCUCACAUAACAUGAAAAUACCAAAGAACAAGAAUAGAAGAGGGACAAAUAAAAAUCCCGACGUCGACAUUAAUUAUCAAACAACUUUUUUCAUUCAAAUUCAGAUUCAGACUAAGCACAGUUAUAUUCAGAUUCAUUUUAAUUUUAUCAAACACUCCCUAAAUGUAAAUUUAAAUAUGAAUAAUUUUCUCAUUUUAUUCUCUUUCUUAAUAUGCGCAAAAAGACAGUUAAAACUUUUAUCCUAUAUAUAUACACUAUAUAUAUAUAUAUAUAUAUAUAUAUAUUAUUAGUAAGGGAGUAAAAAAAUUACUUUUGAUAAAGGUGUAAUAUUUUUUUUAGGAAAUUAUUAAAUUCAUAACAAAAAAAUAUUAUUUUUAUAAUAAAAGUGUCGUUGAAGAUGUAUAGCGACGGUAAAAACCGUCGCUAUAGGAUCUAUAGCGAUAUGGGAUUUAUAGUGACACUUUUAUUAUGAAAAUAAUAUUUUCUAUUGUAAAUUUAAUAAUUUCUUUUUUUUUUAUCUUUAUGUUUUACUUUUUCAUUUCUAUUUAUACUCUUUCACCCACUCAUAACCUCUUCUCCUCUAAGUCUUGUUUUUAUUAUAUUUUAAUUUUUUUUAUCCUCUCACACAUGCAAUGUGUACAUGUUAUAUGACUAAUAUAUAUAAAAGAAGACGCUUUUAUGUUUUCACCAAAAAAAUUGUCCAAUAAUAUUAAACUAAUACUAUACUCUCAAAUAUAUUGAUGUUUUGAACUAGAUGUGGCAAACGGGCGGGCGGGCCAACGACGGGCCGGGCCAAAAAAGUCCGGGUUUUGGCGGGCCGAAAAUGUUAGGCCUGUGGCGGGCGGGCCCGGCCCGCGGGCUUCUUCCCCUAUAUUUUUUUUUUACAAAAUUUUGUUACACCAAAAAUAGUAAUAGUAAUAAAUAUUAAAAAUAAUACAAUAAUUUAUAAUAAACAAUAAUUCUAAUUACCUACAUUAACUACAUACCUCAAUCAAUUAAAAUUUUAAUAGUAUUAUAAAUUACUUUCAAAGUAUAUAAUCAAAUUUGAUUUUUUAAAAUUAUACUUUAAAAUUAAUAUAAUUUAUUUAACUNNNNNNNNNNNNNNNNNNNNNNNNNNNNNNNNNNNNNNNNNNNNNNNNNNNNNNNNNNNNNNNNNNNNNNNNNNNNNNNNNNNNNNNNNNNNNNNNNNNNCAUCUUUGCCAGGUCUAUUUUGAACAAUAUAAGAACAUUAUUAUUAUUAUUAAAAUAAUUGGUCAAAAUAAUGAUAACACAAUAAAUAAAUAAAUUAAAAUAAAUAUGUCAUGCCCACAAUAGAAUAAAACACAAGCUAAUCAAAGUAAAUUCAUAAUUUAUGUUUUGUUUUUGAAAAAUAAAAUAAAUAAAUAAAACAUAAUAAAUAGGUAAAAAAAGAGAUAUAUUAAUAAAAAUAAGUGUAAUUAUUUAUAUUUUAAGAAACUUAAUAGUAAGAAUAAUGUUAAUUCGUAACAUAAUGGAUAGCAAGGAAUUUUUUUUAAAUUUUUCUCUCAAAUUAUACCCGCUCCAUAUAAAAUAGAGAAAUUAUUUUAAUAUACUAAAGUCAAUUAAAACUAUUUUAAAAAUAAAAUUAAUACAAAGAUGGAGUAACUACUAAUUACUAUUUUUUUUAAAAACAUAGACAAAAAUAUAUAUGUUUAAAUUUGAAAAUAUUUUAAAUUUACAUAUUAUAAAAAAGUCAAAAUUGUUACAAAAAUUUCCCAAAUUUCCUCAAGUCGUGAUUCCUCAGUCCAUUUCUUCCUCUUCUUUCUCCCUUCUCUCCCCUCCCCCUCGCCUCCCCAGAGCGGUAGUAGGUGACGUCAUCGCAUUUCUCCAUCGCUCAGCGGCGUACGUUAAACACUGCCGUCUCUAUCAUACGCCACCGGAGGUAAGCUCCCUAUCCUACACCUCGCCUCCAUUUCAGCUCAAUCUAUAGGUCGACCUGAAAAGUUUGAUUAAUGGCUUAAUUCAAAUCAACGCCAGUUUUUGAAAUCAAAUGUAUUGUACAGAUUUGCUUAUGGUAAUUAUCGAGUUUUUGUGAUCUGUUAAGGUAUUUAGUAUUUGUUAAUUUUUUCGUUAUCAGGUACCAGCUGGGUUUCUAGGGUUUUGAUUUUCUUGAUCAUUAGUUGGGAGAUCUGCUGGAAAAGUCGGUAGAAAUCAAUUUGUUUUUGGAUUGAGGAAAGUCGGUUUUGCGGUUUUGAUGCUUUGCUGUGGUUUUGAAUCCGUUCUGAGAUGGCCAGUCCUGGCGGUGGUGGGAACAAAUUUGUGUCUGUGAAUUUGAAUAAGUCAUUUGGACAGACUGCUUAUCAGCAUAAUCAUCCUCCCCAUUAUAAUGGGUCUUAUGGACAAGCUGCUGCAGGUCGUGUCCGGCCGGGCGGCAAUCAUGGGGGAGGAGGUGGAGGUGAUGGAAUGGUGGUCCUGUUGCGGCCUCGAAGUUCACAAAAGGUUGCACCGAAGCUAUCUGUUCCACCCCCCUUGAAUUUGCCGUCGUUGAGGAAAGAACAUGAGAAAUUUGAUUUGUCUGGGCCAGGAAAUGGGUCUGCAGGUGGUACUGGGUCUGGAAGCGGGUCGAGGCCGAAUGUGUCUGGUAUUGGCUGGACAAAACCGGGUGCUAUUGCUUUGCAAGAGAAAGACUGGAGAGGUGAUGAUGGUGUGCAUCAGAGUGUUCGUGCUACAGAUGGUGUUAUUAAGGGGAGUAGCAGUUAUAUGCCACCUUCGGCCCGGUUGGCUGGGGUUGGACUACCGGUUAGUGCUUCUGGUCAGUCUUAUAUACCACCAGCUGAGAAAGCUAUGGUCUUGAGGGGCGAGGAUUUUCCUUCUUUAAAAGCUGCCUUACCUACCACAUCUGGGCCAGUGCAGAAACAAAGAGACAAUUCACAUCAAAAGCAGAAGCAGGGACUGAGUGAGGAGUCUUCCAAUGAGCAGAAAGAUAAUUACCAUCUGAAUUCAUCAGUUCACAUGCAUCCACAGGGGCAAUAUACCUAUUCUACCAAUUCAAAUGACCAGGGUCGUACGUUUGGCGGUUCUCACAUGGCCAAUCAGGCCCGAAAGCAGGAGGAUUACCCACUGCCGCUAGUUCGUUUGAAUCCAAGAUCUGACUGGGCAGAUGAUGAGAGAGAUACAGGUCAUGGAUUUGCAGACAAGGGCAGAGGUCAUGGGUUUACUAAAACUGAGGCUUAUUGGGAUAGAGAUUUUGACAUGCCUUGGACCAGUAUUUUGCCACAAAAGCCACACAGUAAGACAUUUGAAAGAUGGGGUCUGCGUGGCGAUGAAGCUGGAAAGGGUCCUUUCAGUGAAGUCCUUAAAGUGGAUCCUUAUCAUAGAGAUGUACGAACACCUAGUCGGGAAGGUAACAAUUGGACAACUUCCCCUCUCCAGAAAGAUGGAUUGAACAUGCAAGAAGUUGUAAAUGAAAGAAAUGCUACCAGUCAGCCAACUGGCCCUAAUAGAGAAAAUGGAAGAGAAAAUAAAUAUAUCCCACCACCUUUUGGAGAUAGUACUCGGGAUGGUGGAUUUACUGGAAAUGGGGAAUCUGCAACUGGAAGGAGAGAUACGGCACAAAGACAGGAAGGGAGACAGCACUGGAAUCACAUAGUGGAAUCUAGCAGUCAGGUGUCUGAGCGAAGAGACCGAUUUGGGGCUGAACAAUCCAGUAGAUACAAGGGUGACACUUCACAAAAUAGAACAAUUUCCAAAUCAUCAUUUUCUAAAGGUGGUAAAGGGCUUUCAGUGAAUGAUCCAGUUCAGAGUUUUGGUCGGGAGAAGCUUCCUUUGCCAAAGAGUGAUAGACCUUAUUUAGAAGAUCCUCUUCUCAAUGAUUUCGGUUCUACUGGUUAUGAUGAAAGGGAUCCCUUUUCUGUCGUGGGAGUAAUUAAGAGGAAAAAAGAAGCUGUUAAUCAAGCGGAUUUCCAUGACCCUGUUAGGGAAUCUUUUGAGGCAGAGCUUGAGAGAGUUCAGAAGAUGCAAGAGAUGGAGCGACAAAGGAUUAUUGAAGAACAAGAAAGAGUUUUGGAGCAAGCUCGAAGAGAAGAAGAAGAGAGACAACGACUGAUGAGGGAAGAUGAAGAACGGCAGAGAAGGCUUGAAGAGGAAGCCCAAGAGGCUGCUUGGAGGGCAGAGCAGGAGCGGUUGGAGGUCAUAAGAAGGGCUGAAGAGCAGAAAAUAGCUAGAGAAGAGGAAAAGAGAAGGAUUCUUAUUGAGGAGGAGAGAAGGAAAAUAGCUGCUAAACAAAAACUUCUGGAAUUGGAGGCUAGGAUUGCCCAGCGGCGGGCUGAAGAAGAAAAGGGUGAUAACUCUAUUUCUGUUGCAAAUGAGAAAGUGUCCAUUAGUAUGAAGGAAAAAGAUGAGUUCGGGGAAGCAGAUUUGGAUGACUGGGAAGAUAGCGAGAGAAUGGUAGAGAGAAUAACAACUUCAGCAUCGUCUGAUUCAUCUGCUCUGAACAGACCAUUUGUAACGAAUUAUAGGCUUCCUCCUUCGGGAGAAUCUUCUUCUGGCUACUUGGACAGAGGAAAAGCUGUUAAUUCAUGGAGGAGGGAUGUAUUUGAGAAUGGGAAUAGCUUGUCUUUUGCUAUGCAGGACCACGACAAUGGUCAGCACAGUCCCAGGCGAGAUGCAUCUGUUGGUGGGAGAGCAUUCCCUAGGAAAGAAUUCUACGGAGGAGCUGGAUACAUCUCUUCUAGUACUUAUUCCAAAGGAGCACUGCAAGAAUCUCAUUUGGGGAACAGGUGGAAUGCGUCUGGUGAUGGAGAUCCUUUCAAUAGAAACAGGGAAAUUGGUGAGUCACAUGAGAAUGUAUCCGAAAGAUAUGGUGAUGCUGCUUGGGGGCAGGGCCAUACUCGUGUUAAUCCUCAUUCUCCUUACCCAGAACGUCUGUAUCCUAAUUCUGAGGCUGAUGAGCUCUAUUCUUAUGGGAGGUCGCGAUAUUCCAUGAGACAGCCUCGUGUCCUCCCCCCUCCUUCAAUAGCUUCGAUGCACAAAGCUUCCUUCAGAGGCGAGAAUGAUUACCCUGGUCCUUCGACUUCCCUAGGAAAUAAUGUGCACCGUAAUUAUGUUGCAAGAAGUGAUACUGCUCUGCAGACAGAGUAUUAUGAUGAGUCGGAUGAAUCUAGAGAUCCCCCAACUAUGCCUGCUUCAGCUGAAGAAAAGGAUAUUUCUGUUUCUGGCAAUGAUUCUAUUAUCCUGAACAGAUCUGCAGAAGACACCAUAAUGACAGCAUCAAGUUCUAUAUCAGUUGGUGAGGAUGAGGAAUGGACCCUUGACAAAAAUGAAGAGAUGCAGGAACAAGAAGAGUACGAUGAAGAUGGUUAUCAGGAAGAAGAUGAAGUUCAUGAAGUAGAUGAUGAAAAUAUUGACCUGACCCAUGAAUUUGAAAAUAUCCAUCUGGAGGAGAAAGGCUCAUCCCAAAUGGUGGACAACUUGGUCUUAGGCUUUGAUGAGGGUGUUGAAGUCGGACUACCAAGUCAUGAGUUUGAAAGAAAUCCAAAGGGUGAAGCAAAUAAUCUUGAGAUACCCAAAUUUUCUGUUGGUGUUGUAGGAGCACAGGGAUCUGUUGAUGGGACACUAGGUGAUCGAGAAACCCUUAAGCCUGUGGAUGAUUCCCCUCAAACUAGCACCAAAAUUGCAUUAAAUAGGAUUGAUGAAACUGAAAAGACUAUCCAAGAGUCGGUAGUUCAGCCUAUAAGUGCUCCUCCUACUUCAAUGGAAGCUGAUCUAUUGAAUAAUACUAAUGCUUCUAGUGGUUCUGAACUAUCUGCACUGCACACAGUCCCUUCUUCAGUUGACAUGGCAUCUCGUCCCUCUUGUCCGCCUAUCAUGUCUGCUGUAUCUUCUAUUCCAAAUCAAGCUGAUUUACCAGUUAAACUUCAGUUUGGUCUGUUUACUGGUCCUUCUUUGAUACCAUCUCCUGUUCCAGCCAUACAAAUUGGUUCAAUACGGAUGCCGCUCCAUCUGCAUCUCCCAGUUGAUCCAACCAUUACCCAUUUACAACCAUCACAACCUCCUCUCUUCCAGUUUGGUCAACUCAGGUAUACAUCCCCAAUUUCCCAGGGAAUUUUGCCAAUGCCCCCUCAGUCUAUGUCUUUUGUGCAGCCCAACAUGCAGCAUCAUUAUAAUUUGAAUCAGAACUCUGGUGGUUCUGUGCCUAUUCAACUCGGUCAAGAGACACAUAAUUUGAUGAAAGAUGAUGUGUCUUCCCUUUCGAUAAAUAAUCAACCUUCUGUUGUUUCAAGGGCAUUGGAUCUAUCCGAUGAUAAUGGCUCAAGGGUGUUGAAUUCAUUUUCUGUGAGAGGAAGUGCAGAUAGCAGUGCACUAGUACACAAGACUGGAACUGAUG